rnacentral:rRNA from 1 species
UACAGUGGUCUCAAGCGUUGUUCGGAUUCAUUGGGCGUAAAGGGUGCGUAGGUGGCGCUGUAAGUCGGGUGUGAAAUUUCGGAGCUUAACUCCGAAACUGCAUUCGAUACUGCGGUGCUUGAGGACUGGAGAGGAGACUGGAAUUCAUGGUGUAGCAGUGAAAUGCGUAGAGAUCAUGAGGAAGACCAGUGGCGAAGGCGGGUCUCUGGACAGUUCCUGACACUGAGGCACGAAGGCCAGGGGAGCAAACGGG